rnacentral:rRNA from 1 species
CUGAAGAGCCGUUCAAGACCAGGACGUUGAUAGGCUGGGUGUGUAAGCGUUGUGAGGCGUUGAGCUAACCAGUACUAAUUGCUCGUGAGGCUUGACCAUAUAACGCCAAAAGCGUUU